rnacentral:tRNA from 1 species
GAGGUUGUAGCUCAGUGGUAGAGUGCUUGCUUAGCAUGCAUGAGGCCCUGGGUUUGAUCCUCAGCACCACA